rnacentral:lncRNA from 1 species
UGAAGAUCUGGGAUAGAUAACAUUACUGUCAUAUGUGUAAGUAACUAGUUACAAGAGGAAACUUUAGAUUUUUAUGGAUCCUAAAUGAAAACAUUUACAGGGUCUAUUACUAGCAAAAUUAGUGAAUGUAUUUUUUAUAGAAAUUAAUGUAUGUGUUCAAUGUCAGUGUUCUGUCUUCAUUUUUAAAUAGAGACUAUAGAUAAAAAAAUACAUGAUAAAUCGGUUUUCAUUGUAUGCAGAUCUCUCUGCCCAAUCCUGUUCAGAUGUUGUAGAGCUACAACUCCAAUAAUCCUUUGCUAGCCUUAAAAAUGGCAAAACAUCACAAGAGUUGAAUUUCAUCAACAGAAAUCUAUCUUUAAACUAUACUAUCUGUAUAACUGAAUUUAUAAUUAUGGAGUUUUUAACCUUUUAUGAUAUUUAGUGUUGUACUUACUAUCUUUGUAACUACACAAAAUAGACGCAAUAAAGAGGAACAAUAUUUGUUUUACUUUACUGCAAGAGCAUAUUUGACUGCCUCAAGACAAUUUUUUACUUAAAGAGAGGCUGGGGAAUACCAACCUUUGCAGUAAUGUUGUGAUACAAAUAGAUUGCAAGAUGGUUAUAUUAUUGCAUAACUCUUAAUAUUUCUAUAAACUAUCACACAAAACAACAGUAUAUGAUGAAAACACUGUGCUUUUAUUCACCAAAAAAAAAAAAUACGUGGUGGAAAUCAAAAGAAUUAUCUUCUUUUUAGUUUUCCAGGUGGCCUAUAUCUGGGAUUUACAGAUCUCUAUGUUUAGGGAUAUUUAUAAUGAGUUCUGCAUUAAGAGUUCAUGCCAUUCCAGUGUUUAAUCAAUUAAUUGAUUAAUCAUGAAAUGCAUUGCUUUCUCAGCAGGGGAUUAUAAAAUUCCUCUCGUCUUGCCAGUGAAUUGAGACACACUUUAAAAUCUACAGACAUUUACUAACCCUCUCAUUUCCAUCAGUGUUCAGUCAUUGACAAAUACUGAAAUAGGUAAAUUAGUGUACUAAAAAUGUCUAUUUAAAUGUAAUGCACAUUUGCAAGAACGUCACAAUGAGGUCAGCCAGCUCAUGGGAUUCUCCAAACACAGGUCAUGUUUGUAAAUAAUUUGAAAUUCAUUUUACUAAAAAAUGUUUUGUAGACAAUCUUUAGAACUGUCAAAAAAUUUAAUUUUAGAGAAAAGGUCAAUUCAUAAAUGAGUCAGAAUGAUUUCUUAUGUACAUGUACAUGGGGUUUCUUGAUGGGAUUUUUCAGCGGGUUUUAGUCCUUACCCUGAAAGUUGAUAGUCUCUUUGUGACUAUCGGAGUGAAUCAGCAAGAACUGCAUUAAGGCAUCCAAGCACCCAACUUAUAUAGAAAAAAAUCUGUUGUUGCUUUGGACGCUGUGGCUGAUUGACCUUUUUUAUAUUUUUAAAUUCUGAGAUUUUAAUGUAUCAUCUGUUUCACUGUGGUUCCUGUGGAUCUGCCUGCUUUUUAUUUUUGUGCCUUCAGAAUUUUCUGUUCUUUCUUCCAUUUAAGGAUUGUUGAGUAACACUGCCUCUUUAAACAAAUUAUUGUGUUUUCAUUCUUGUAAUUAACUAUAUGAGUUAAUGCAGAGUUAUUUUCAGACUAAACAUAGUUCAUGGAUUGCUUUCUAAAACAUAAAAGCUAGUUGUGAAUUGUGGUAAAUAAAUUCCAGAGAACUAUGAACUAUUGGUAUUAUUUCUACUUUUAUAUUGUUUAUGACAGGCCCUGUCUAAGGAAAGAGUGUUCAAAUAGUAUCCUUCAACUGUGCCAGAACUUGGCACUUCCUUAGCUGCAGAUCUGCUUGUUGUCUAUCCCCUAUUUAAGGUAGAAUUACAAAGAACUUCUUUAGGCUUAAGUAAAAGAAAAAUACAACAGCAGAUUUAAAAAGCAAAAUUGCUGGUGAAUAUAAUGUCUUCCUAACCAUAGUACUGUGUCUUGGUCUAAAGCUUAAGGGGUCCUGAAGAAUUUACACUUCCUUGGUUCAAAGAGCCUCUUUAUUAUCCUUAUUUUACAAUGCACAAUGAAAAUUCACCAUCCCAUCAUUGGUAACUCAUUCUCUAGACCGUUAAAAAACUAUUAUUUGUCUCAAAUUACAUAUUAUGUGCUAUUCCAAUCUAAUGUUUUAAGUAGUGGGUAGGUCAGUGCUUUAUGACCUUUUAUGAUCUUUUCUCUGCCAUUAUGUAUUGCAUGUCAAUUAUUUGUACUUGUAAGCCAUAUAGCUUUAGUACAAUUUGCACGUUAUAUGACUUAGACUUGUGAAGAGCAAAAAUCAUUUUUGCCGAAUCAUAUGUUUGUCAGUCUGAUGGAUCACUGUUGUGUUUCAGUAUUGUUUCAAUCUACUUUUUACGUGAUUAUUUUAUACUUUAUGUGCCUUACAGAAGCCAUGACAAAGAAAGUCUCAAACGAAAGUCAAGUAACCGAGUUCCUGAUCUUGGGAUUAUCUGACUCAUUGGAACUGAAAGUCCCUCUUUUCCUGCUCUUUCUUCUCAUCUAUUUUAUAACCAUGCUGAGCAACUUUGUAAUCAUUACACUCAUUUGUCUGGAUAGCCACUUACAAAAGCC